rnacentral:rRNA from 1 species
CAUUCGGAUCGGAGUCUGCAACCCGACUCCGUGAAGCUGGAUUCGCUAGUAAUCGCGCAUCAGCCAUGGCGCGGUGAAUACGUUCCCGGGCCUUGUACACACCGCCCGUCAAGCCAUGGGAGCCGGGGGUGCUUGAAGUGCGUCGCCGCGAGGCGCGCCCUAGAGCAAAACCGGUGACUGGGGCUAAGUCGUAACAAGGUAUC